GACGAACGCUGGCGCCGUGCUUAACACAUGCAAGUCGAACGAAGUGGCUAACGGGUGAGUAACGCGUAAUCAACCUGCCCUUCAGAGGGGGACAACAGUUGGCCACGACUGCUAAUACUGCAUACUGAAGGAGGGGAUUGCGUCUGUUUAGCUAGUGGGAGGGGUAACGGCCCACCAAGGCGAUGAUCAGUAUCCGGUCUGAGGGGAUGAACGGCCACAGUGGGACUGAGACACGGCCCAGACUCCUACGGGAGGCAGCAGUGGGGAAUCUUCCGCAAUGGACGAAAGUCUGACGGAGCAACGCCGCGGGAGUGAUGACGGCAUUCGGGUUGUAGAGCUCUGUUAAUCGGGACGCGGUACCGGAAUAGAAAGCCACGGCUAACUACGUGCCAGCAGCCGCGGUAAUAC
rnacentral:rRNA from 1 species